UCAUCAAUGGCAUAACUCUCCGCUUGUUUUUGUGGCAGUUUGCUCACUGACUUCAUUGUAAACAAGAUUAUGCCUACCUUGCAAUACAUUUGCACCUUGUAGUAGGCAGCAGAAUUUGGCACCAAACUGCAUUACCAUGGCUGCAUAAUGUGCACAGUACAUCUAUACUUCCGAUUAACAAGGCAUAGCAGUGAUUUACCUGUGUACAUGGGUAUAUAUCUGCUGUCUUUCUUUCCAGACAGUCUUUACAAAUUUGUGUCAUCCAAGUAUAAGAUGACACUCAUAAGAUGAAUAGAUUAAAAGAACCCCUAGAUCAAUUAAAAAGACAAUAAGCUUUUUCAAAUUGACAUAUAUGUAAAGACUUGAAAGAAAUAUUAAUGAUGGAUAAUAUGAAAUCUCCAAUUCUAGUCUAACAAAGAAAGUCAAGAAUUUUAUUAGUGGAAAUAUUAACAAGUUCCUAUCUUAUCUGAGAAAACAGUAGUUUAAAUGAUAAAAAUGUCUCAACUGUAAAUAUUUUGAUAUCCACAAAAAAAAAUUGAUUUGUGC